CCAGAAUGCGUGCGAAACAGUCUCGGUCCAAUCGUUGGCGAGAUCGAAAGGGCUGUGGGCGGGGCUUUCUGUUCGGCGUAGCCAGUCGCGAGACGGCCCGCCGGACAAGGCCCACAGGCCACAACAAGUGAGGCUUCCUCACCUGGGAGCCAGCGCUCCGGAGGCCUGAAAUAUACUGUAGGUACUCAGUAAAUGUUUUUUGAGGGCACAAAAUAAAGGUAGGUCAGAACAAAUGUUUACCCUGCUAAGUGCCCUUUGGUUUGCAUAUACCUAAGGUCUAGUACUUUACCACGUACUGUCAUGUUCGUUUCUCCCAGCAACCUCAGGCGAUGGUGAGGAGUCUUGUGCCCAUUUUUAAUAAAUCAGGAAAUCAAGUACAGAGCGAUUAAGUAAUUUGCCUAAAGUCACAAAGCUAACUAGUGGCGUAGCAGGAUUGGAACCGGGAUCUGAGAACCAGCGCCAGUCCCUCGCCUGUGAGGCGAGUUUACUGGAAGAGACAUGAUUAUAAAUUACAAGAUAAUUGUGUGCAAAAUGCAGUAGGAGCCAGAGAAAGGAAAACUACACCUUGGAGAGGGAUAGGGAAGGGCAUAAUUCAAAGAAGGCUUCACAGAAACUUAAAGACAAGAGGUACCUGUGGCCUAGUACCUGCUAGUCUCCACCCCUGGGCUGGCAGGGAGUGCAAAUUAACUCUCCCUGUUAUCUAGAGGUCAUACUUCUGGUUAAUUAUCAAUAAGAGAAAAAAGUCCCACCCUAUUUAGGGACAAGAAUAUCCAGUCCCCUCCUCCAAACAUUGCUGGAAUCCUUUUCUGGCCCCACAAAUCCAUCCCUGACUACACUUGACCUUUACCUCUGAUUUAGUUAAGGCCAGACUUCAGGCUUCCUUGAACUUAACACAGGCACUCCCCAUUACAGCCUCAUCCUGUACUCAAUAAAGUGUUCUGGAAUUCUGGUGCAAGAUACCACCUAGAGCUCCAGAACCACCUGUGGCUAUCACCACUCUGGCUUGGGCAUAUGGGAGGCAGUUCCUAGAGAGUGGAACCAAAUCCUAAAUGUGGACAUAGGCCCCUUCCUUAAUUCUCCAAAACACAGUUAACACCAGACUGGUUUUUUUUUUUAAUUUUUUUAAAUGUUUAUUUAUUUCUUGAGAGAGACACAGACAGAAUGUGAGUGGGUUAGGAGCAGAAAGAGAGGGAGACACAGAAUGCGAAGCAGGCCCCAGGCUCCAAGCCAUCAGCACAGAGCCCGACGCGGGGCUCGAACCCGCGAGCUGUGAGAUCAUGACCUGAGUCGAAGUCGGACGCUCAACCGACUGAGCCACCCAGGCACCCCAACACCAGACUGUUAAUGAAAGUUUGAGAAUAGAAAGACUAGAAGUUUUGUGGUUUUUUUUUUUUUAAGAAACUGUUUCAUUUCCAUCAACCCUAUUCCAUUUUGUUUGCCGUUGUAGAAAAGCAGCUUAAGACCACUCGGUGUUGUUCCUAUCCAUUCAGUGGUCUAAGCAGUGGGAGCUGCAGAACAGUCUUCACUGGCAGGCUGAGCACUCCAGUCUUCAGUAGAGGACUGCUGAAUAGGCAUAGAGGGCACCUGCACACCUUCAGUUCAGUCUGCAACUUCAGGUUGAGUAGCAGUGAACUCAGGAAGCUGCUCUUCCUUUUCAAUCUCUUCAAGAUCUCUGUAGAAGAAGAGACAGGUGUACUGUUCCAUUUGGAAGUCAAGGUUAGUGCCACUUAAGUGGGUUCCUGCUGCAAGGAAUUCGAGGACAUCCUCCUUCAUUUGCAGGCCAUGAUGGGCUCUGAACAUUGUGAAAGUUUGCUUUAAGCUAUGAUGGGAAUGUAGAACAAGACCACUGUGUGGCCCCUCUCUGGGUAAUUUGGAAAGCAAAGACCAGAAGAUUUAGAAGUGGCUAUUAUCAUCCGUAGUCCAUUGCUCAUUGCCUCCCAGAAGGACUUUACUCCCCUCAAGGUCAUCUCUCCACUCUUUUACAAGCCACCAACAGAAGAGAAUUUUCUCUCCACCUCUACUCCAACCUAUUUCAGGCUGGACUCCCAGUUAACUUAAAAAAUAGUCUACCAUGGCAUUAUUAUGCACAGCACUUGAGCUGUGUCCCAUGUGUCCAUUCCACUAUAAAAAAUGGCCUUUGCCUUCACUGAACCAAAAGGAACACUCAAGCAUUGCAAAGGGAUUUUCGGAGACAAAAGAGCACUCUCUGUUCAAAACAUAAAUGGGAAAACUGCAAGGUGCUUUAGAAUAGCAGCGUAUUCAGGUUUGGGCCACCAAGAUUUAAGAAAGAUUGACACCAAGUCUCAGGCCACUCCAGUACAACACAUUUUUUUUUCCUCCCUCACUAAUAGCACCUGCGCAUACCUAAUGCUGAAAUGUUAGACCCCCUCUAUGAAAAGUGGAGGGCUUUGGAAUUACCUCAGUCGAAUCUCUGGGCCUCAUCAGGAAGCAAUAACUCUUGAGUGCAGCAACUGCCAGCCACCGCCUGCACCUGACAUUUCGCCACUUGGUGCACUCGCUGUCCUAUCAUCCCCAGGAGAGGCAUGGGCCGAUACCCAUCCAGUGGUCAAGGAGUGGAACCACGCUUACUCCAAACCCACCACUGUUGCACCCAUUCCUGGACUCAGGAACUCUUCACCAGAGGGCUAGAGGAGAAAACCAAAGCCAUAUGAAGAAAUAAGGACAUUGAGGUUUGGAUAACUUGCACCCGUGUACUGUUGGAGGGGCACAUCCUCAUUGCUUAAGUUUUCAUUAGGCUAUCCUAAACGAUUGCCCAGUUUUCUGAAAAACAAUAUGACAACAAAAACUUUGUUGACAAAA